rnacentral:tRNA from 1 species
GCCUGGGUGGCUCAGUCGGUUGAGCAGCUGACUCCAGCUCAGGUCACGAUCUCGCGGUUUGUGAGUUCGAGCCCCACAUCCGGCC